AGGACCCUGAGAAAGCCAUCCAGAUCUCAGCGUCAGCUACUCUAGAAAGGGAGCCCCAUCGUGUCCCAGGAAGCCAGCACAGCCAUGCCGGGGCUCAAAAAGAGCCAGGCACACCCAGACAGACCCAAGCAAGCCUGGCCUGCAGUGCCUCUUGGGGAACACAAACAAAGGAGUUUGGGUCCAUGCAAUCCAAGGUUCUGGAGAUACCUGGAAGGAGGGGGUCUCUGGUAGAUCACAAGACCCCACGGCCACUGGACACCCCCUGCAGAAAAGGAGAAAGGCUGUGGAUGGAGACUG